rnacentral:rRNA from 1 species
UACGUAGGGUGCGAGCGUUGUCCGGAAUUAUUGGGCGUAAAGAGCUCGUAGGCGGUUUGUCACGUCUGCUGUGAAAACUGGAGGCUCAACCUCCAGCCUGCAGUGGGUACGGGCAGACUAGAGUGCGGUAGGGGAGAUUGGAAUUCCUGGUGUAGCGGUGGAAUGCGCAGAUAUCAGGAGGAACACUGAUGGCGAAGGCAGAUCUCUGGGCCGUAACUGACGCUGAGGAGCGAAAAGCAUGGGGGAGCGAACAGG